AAUCUCAUCCUAACUUAUUCCUUUGUUAAAACGUCAAUCCUCUUCUGGACUUUCAACCUCCUCCCCCUUUAAAUUAUCUCUCUCCUCCGUCCAGACCAAGCUCUUCUCCAUCCUCAGCAAUACCUCUGCCACUCUCCUCUUUUGUUAUUGAAUACAAAUUUGGGUUGUAAAACCCAAAGCUUUUUGUAACCCAAAAACAAAAACCCCAAGGUUAAGAGAUGGUCAAAGCAGUGUCAAUCUUCAGUUUUAUGAUGAUCCUUGUCCUCCUUGGUUCAGCUACUAAUGCGAUGGGUAUGGGACGCUCGAUUACUCCUAAUUUCGUUUGCAGACAGGUGCAAUCAGAUAUCCCAUGUGACUCAGCUGAGCACGCCAAACAAUGCUACGCAAGAUGUGUGUCCAAAGAUCCCGAUAACAACCCACUGUGCGUAACAGCCCCGGGAACCAAUGUAUCAUUUUG